UCGACAGUGUUCGCGCCGGAAAGAGCGUCGUCGUGUGGUGCCUGCGAGACGAAGCCGUUUGCCGACCACAUUGAAGGUGCCUUGUGAGCUCUCACCCAAGCACCACAUUCCAGAGGUCUGCUGUGAGCAGACGUGGCAAAUUGAAGUAACAUCCAGAUAGUCCAAUAAACUGUUCGUAGUUUCAGACAAAC